rnacentral:rRNA from 1 species
CGAAUGCUGACAUAAGUAACGAUAAAGCGGGUGAAAAGCCCGCUCGCCGGAAGACCAAGGGUUCCUGUCCAACGUUAAUCGGGGCAGGGUGAGUCGACCCCUAAGGCGAGGCCGAAAGGCGUAGUCGAUGGGAAACAGGUUAAUAUUCCUGUACUUGGUGUUACUGCGAAGGGGGGACGGAGAAGGCUAUGUUGGCCGGGCGACGGUUGUCCCGGUUUAAGCGUGUAGGCUGGUUUUCCAGGCAAAUCCGGAAAAUCAAGGCUGAGGCGUGAUGACGAGGCACUACGGUGCUGAAGCAACAAAUGCCCUGCUUCCAGGAAAAGCCUCUAAGCAUCAGGUAACAUCAAAUCGUACCCCAAACCGACACAGGUGGUCAGGUAGAGAAUACCAAGGCGCUUGAGAGAACUCGGGUGAAGGAACUAGGCAAAAUGGUGCCGUAACUUCGGGAGAAGGCACGCUGAUAUGUAGGUGAAGCGACUUGCUCGUGGAGCUGAAAUCAGUCGAAGAUACCAGCUGGCUGCAACUGUUUAUUAAAAACACAGCACUGUGCAAACACGAAAGUGGACGUAUACGGUGUGACGCCUGCCCGGUGCCGGAAGGUUAAUUGAUGGGGUUAGCGGUAACGCGAAGCUCUUGAUCGAAGCCCCGGUAAACGGCGGCCGUAACUAUAACGGUCCUAAGGUAGCGAAAUUCCUUGUCGGGUAAGUUCCGACCUGCACGAAUGGCGUAAUGAUGGCCAGGCUGUCUCCACCCGAGACUCAGUGAAAUUGAACUCGCUGUGAAGAUGCAGUGUACCCGCGGCAAGACGGAAAGACCCCGUGAACCUUUACUAUAGCUUGACACUGAACAUUGAGCCUUGAUGUGUAGGAUAGGUGGGAGGCUUAGAAGUGUGGACGCCAGUCUGCAUGGAGCCGACCUUGAAAUACCACCCUUUAAUGUUUGAUGUUCUAACGUUGGCCCCUGAUCGGGGUUGCGGACAGUGUCUGGUGGGUAGUUUGACUGGGGCGGUCUCCUCCUAAAGAGUAACGGAGGAGCACGAAGGUUGGCUAAUCCUGGUCGGACAUCAGGAGGUUAGUGCAAUGGCAUAAGCCAGCUUGACUGCGAGCGUGACGGCGCGAGCAGGUGCGAAAGCAGGUCAUAGUGAUCCGGUGGUUCUGAAUGGAAGGGCCAUCGCUCAACGGAUAAAAGGUACUCCGGGGAUAACAGGCUGAUACCGCCCAAGAGUUCAUAUCGACGGCGGUGUUUGGCACCUCGAUGUCGGCUCAUCACAUCCUGGGGCUGAAGUAGGUCCCAAGGGUAUGGCUGUUCGCCAUUUAAAGUGGUACGCGAGCUGGGUUUAGAACGUCGUGAGACAGUUCGGUCCCUAUCUGCCGUGGGCGCUGGAGAACUGAGGGGGGCUGCUCCUAGUACGAGAGGACCGGAGUGGACGCAUCACUGGUGUUCGGGUUGUCAUGCCAAUGGCACUGCCCGGUAGCUAAAUGCGGAAGAGAUAAGUGCUGAAAGCAUCUAAGCACGAAACUUGCCCCGAGAUGAGUUCUCCCUGACUCCUUGAGAGUCCUGAAGGAACGUUGAAGACGACGACGUUGAUAGGCCGGGUGUGUAAGCGCAGCGAUGCGUUGAGCUAACCGGUACUAAUGAACCGUGAGGCUUAACCUUACAACGCCGAAGCUGUU